rnacentral:tRNA from 1 species
CAGGUCUUAUGGUGUUUAGCACAUAAAAUUGCAAAUUUUAAAGAGCAGAAUUACUCCUGCUGGGACUU